UGUGCGCUUGCAGCGUCCAGCCCUGGCUGUUGGCGCUCUUGUCGGCAAACACCGGGCGCCAGACCUGCGGGGCGCCGGGUUCCUGGCCCAGGCGCUCGC
rnacentral:tRNA from 1 species